rnacentral:tRNA from 1 species
GGGGCGGUAGCUCAGCUGGUUAGAGCAGCGGACUCAUAAUCCGUCGGUCGCGGGUUCAAGUCCCGCCCGCCCUA